CGGGUUCGAUUCCCGGCUG
rnacentral:siRNA from 1 species